rnacentral:misc_RNA from 1 species
AACCAUAGAAACCUGCGGAGUACCUGCGGAGGGAUCAUUACAGAGUUGCAAAACUCCCUAAACCAUUGUGAACGUUACCUAAACCGUUGCUUCGGCGGGCGGCCCGGGCCCUUCCCGGCGCCCCUCGGCCCUCGCGGGCGCCCGCCGGAGGUAAACCAAACUAUUGCAUUGUAUGGCCUCUCUGAGUCUUCUGUACUGAAUAAGUCAAAACUUUCAACAACGGAUCUCAGAUCGGAAGAG